rnacentral:rRNA from 1 species
AGAGUUUGAUCAUGGCUCAGGACUAACGCUGGCGGCAUGCAUCAUACAUGCAAGUCGGACGGAGAGGAUUGGGCAACUGAUCUUCUUAGUGGCGCACGGGUGAGUAACACGUAGGUAACCUGCCCCCUGGACCGGGAUAACGGCUCGAAAGGGUCGCUAAGACUGGAUAAGCCCACGACUCGAGAGGGUUGAGGGAAAAACAUGGCCUCUGUUUACAUGCUAUGGCGAGGGGAUGGGCCUGCGGACUAUCAGCUAGUUGGCGGGGUAACGGCCCACCAAGGCGAUGACGGUUAGCCGGCUUGAGAGAGUGUACGGCCACACUGGAACUGAGACACGGUCCAGACUCCUACGGGAGGCAGCAGUAGGGAAUUUUCCGCAAUGGGCGCAAGCCUGACGGAGCAAUGCCGCGUGAGGGAAGAAGGCCUUCGGGUCGUAAACCUCUUUCGUUUGGGAAGAAUGCGUAGAACAAGAAACGGUUCUGCGUUGACGGUACCGGAGGAAGAAGCCCCGGCUAAUUACGUGCCAGCAGCCGCGGUAAUACGUAAGGGGCAAGCGUUGUCCGGAAUCACUGGGCGUAAAGGGCGCGUAGGCGGUCUGUUAAGUCGGGAGUGAAAGCGCUGGGCCUAACCCAGCAAUGGCUCUCGAGACUGGCAGGCUAGAGGGUCCUAGGGGAUUGUGGAAUUCCAGGUGUAGCGGUGAAAUGCGUAGAUAUCUGGGAGAACACCCGUGGCGAAGGCGGCAAUCUGGGGGACACCUGCGCUGAGGCGCGAAAGCUAGGGGAGCGAACGGGAUUAGAUACCCUAGUAGUCC